UACGUAGGGCGCAAGCGUUGUCCGGAUUUAUUGGGCGUAAAGAGUUCGUAGGCGGUCUGUCGCGUCGGAAGUGAAAACCCGGAGCUCAACUCCGGGCCUGCUUUCGAUACGGGCAGACUUGAGUGUUGCAGGGGAGACUGGAAUUCCUGGUGUAGCGGUGGAAUGCGCAGAUAUCAGGAGGAACACCGGUGGCGAAGGCGGGUCUCUGGGCAACAACUGACGCUGAGGAACGAAAGCGUGGGGAGCGAACAGG
rnacentral:rRNA from 2 species